rnacentral:misc_RNA from 1 species
AAGUCGUAACAAGGUCUCCGUAGGUGAACCUGCGGAGGGAUCAUUAUUAGUUGCGAGCCCGAUUAGCAAACGGCGAAAGCCCGACGCUUAAUGGGGCUAGUAUAACAUAUGUGUUUAGGGCUAAACUCAUAACCCUAAUAUUUCUUAUUACACAAAGCCUAAUACGCUUUGGCCAAUCAACAACAAACUUACAACAGAGGAACGACAUACAACACACCCCAUUGGAUACCUUGGUUCCCAC